CGCGUAGGCUGCGGGGUAAGUCUGGUGUGAAAUCUCAGAGCUCAACUCUGAAACUGCACUUGAUACUGCUCUGCUUGAGGACUGGAGAGGAGAUUGGAAUUCACGGUGUAGCAGUGAAAUGCGUAGAUAUCGUGAGGAAGACCAGUGGCGAAGGCGGAUCUCUGGACAGUUCCUGACGCUGAGGCGCGAAGGCCAGGGGAGCAAACG
rnacentral:rRNA from 1 species